GACAAGGUGGCCGGGAGGUUAUGGCGAUGGACUGCUAAUCCAUUGGGCUCAUUCCGCGUGGGUUCGAAUCCCAUCCUCGUCG